GGCAAUAAUAAACCCAUAGAAUGUCAAGUGGUGAAAGAGAUUGCUAGUGGCAGAGGAAAGACAGCGGCUCAGGUGUGUCUGAGAUGGGUGCACGAGCAAGGUGUUAGUGUUGUUGUGAAGAGCUUUAACAAGGAAAGAAUGAAAGAAAACUUGAAGAUAUUUGAUUGGGAGCUAAGUGAGGAAGACUUGCAAAAGAUAAAUCAAAUUCAACAAAAAAGAGGUAAUCUAGCAGAGGCAUUCGUCGC
rnacentral:misc_RNA from 1 species